AGAGCUCGUAAGUUUGUAGCCAUAGCAGAAGCACUCAUGGUGUGGCCCUUUCAGAUUUCAAUGAACCUGCAAAUCCUGCU
rnacentral:ribozyme from 1 species